AUGCAAGUCGAACGAGAAAGGGAUUGCUUGCAAUCCUGAGUAGAGUGGCGCACGGGUGAGUAACACGUAGAUAAUCUGCCUUCAAGUCCGGGAUAACCAAUCGAAAGGUUGGCUAAUACCGGAUGAAGUGUUUUUGCGCAGGUAAAAACAUGAAAGAUAGCCUCUUCUUGAAAGCUAUUGCUUGGGGAUGAGUCUGCGGACCAUUAGCUUGUUGGUGGGGUAACGGCCUACCAAGGCUGCGAUGGUUAGCUGGUCUGAGAGGAUGAUCAGCCACACUGGAACUGGAACACGGUCCAGACUCCUACGGGAGGCAGCAGUGAGGAAUUUUGCGCAAUGGGGGCAACCCUGACGCAGCAACGCCGCGUGAGUGAAGAAGGCCUUUGGGUCGUAAAGCUCUGUCAACUGGGAAGAAAUUGUCUGAUAUUAAUAGUGUCAGUCAUUGACAGUACCAGUGGAGGAAGCGCCGGCUGACUCCGUGCCAGCAGCCGCGGUAACACGGGGGGCGCAAGCGUUAUUCGGAAUUAUUGGGCGUAAAGGGCGCGCAGGCGGUCUUGUCAGUCAGGUGUGAAAGCCCGGGGCUCAACCCUGGAAGUGCAUUUGAAACAGCAAGACUUGAAUACUGGAGAGGAAAGCGGAAUUCCUGGUGUAGAGGUGAAAUUCGUAGAUAUCAGGAGGAACACCUAUGGUGAAGGCAGCUUUCUGGACAGAUAUUGACGCUGAGGCGCGAAGGCGUGGGUAGCGAACAGGAUUAGAUACCCUGGUAGUCCACGCAGUAAACGUUGUACACUCGGUGUAUCGGAUAUUAAAAUCUGAUGUGCCUAAGCUAACGCAUUAAGUGUACCGCCUGGGAAGUACGGUCGCAAGACUAAAACUCAAAGGGAAUUGACGGGGGCCCGCACAAGCGGUGGAGCAUGUGGUUUAAUUCGAACUGCAACGCGAAGAACCUUUAGCCUUGGGUUUGACAUCCUGUGAAUAUCUGGGUAAUUCCAAUAGGCCUUCGGGAGCACAGAGACAGGUGCUGCAUGGCGUCGUCAGCUCGUGUCGUGAGAUGUUUGGUUAAGUCCAGCAACGGAAGCAGCCAACCCACUUAAAUUCCGUUAGUUGCCAGCACAUUAAUUGGGUUGGGAACUCUAGCGAGUGCCCCGGUCAACGGGGAGGAAGGUGGGGAUGACGUCAAGUCCUCAUGGCCCUUAUAUCCAGGGCUACACACGUGCUACAAUGGUAGGUACAAAGGCACGACUCUGCAAAGAGCAGCGA
rnacentral:rRNA from 1 species